AUACUUACCUGGCAAGGGAGACACCGUGAUCAAGAAGGCGGUUCACCCAGGGCGAGGCUCAGCCAUUGCACUCCGGCUGUGCUGACCCCUGCGAAUUUCCCAAAUGUGGAAAUCUCGAUUGCAUAAUUUCUGGUAGUGGGGGACUGCGUUCGCGCUCUCCCCCU
rnacentral:snRNA from 8 species